rnacentral:rRNA from 1 species
UACAGAGGGUGCAAGCGUUAAUCGGAAUUACUGGGCGUAAAGCGUGCGUAGACGGUUGCGUAAGUCAGAUGUGAAAGCCCCGGGCUCAACCUGGGAAUUGCAUUUGAGACUGCGUAGCUAGGGUGCGGAAGAGGGAAGCGGAAUUUCCGGUGUAGCGGUGAAAUGCGUAGAUAUCGGAAGGAACACCAGUGGCGAAAGCGGCUUCCUGGUCCAGCACCGACGUUCAGGCACGAAAGCGUGGGGAGCAAGCAGG